CUACGGGGAGGCAGCAGUAGGGAAUCUUCGGCAAUGGGGGCAACCCUGACCGAGCAACGCCGCGUGAGUGAAGAAGGUUUUCGGAUCGUAAAGCUCUGUUGUAAGUCAAGAACGGGUGUGAGAGUGGAAAGUUCACACUGUGACGGUAGCUUACCAGAAAGGGACGGCUAACUACGUGCCAGCAGCCGCGGUAAUACGUAGGUCCCGAGCGUUGUCCGGAUUUAUUGGGCGUAAAGCGAGCGCAGGCGGUUUGAUAAGUCUGAAGUUAAAGGCUGUGGCUCAACCAUAGUUCGCUUUGGAAACUGUCAAACUUGAGUGCAGAAGGGGAGAGUGGAAUUCCAUGUGUAGCGGUGAAAUGCGUAGAUAUAUGGAGGAACACCGGUGGCGAAAGCGGCUCUCUGGUCUGUAACUGACGCUGAGGCUCGAAAGCGUGGGGAGCGAACAGGAUUAGAUACCCUUGGGUAG
rnacentral:rRNA from 1 species